UACAGAGGUCUCAAGCGUUGUUCGGAUUCAUUGGGCGUAAAGGGUGCGUAGGCGGCGCGGUAAGUCGGGUGUGAAAUCUCGGGGCUUAACUCCGAAACUGCAUUCGAUACUGCCGUGCUUGAGGACUGGAGAGGAGACUGGAAUUUACGGUGUAGCGGUGAAAAUGCGUAGAUAUCAGGAGGAACACCGGUGGCGAAGGCGGCCCUCUGGACGGAUACUGACGCUGAGGCGCGAAAGCGUGGGGAGUCAAACAGG
rnacentral:rRNA from 1 species